ACGCUGGCGGCGUGCUUAAUACAUGCAAGUCAACUUGACUUUAGAUAGCAAUAUCGAAAAGUAGGGUGGCGCACGGGUGCGUAACGCGUAGGUAAUCUGCCCUGAGGUCUGACAUAACCCGUCGAAAGGCGGGCUAACAUCAGAUGAUAUAUAAUCACGACAUCGUGGAAAUAUCAAAUCUUCGGAGCCUUGGGAUGAGCCUGCGUCUGAUUAGGUAGUUGGCGGAGUAAUAGCCCACCAAGCCUACGAUCAGUAGCUGGUCUGAGAGGAUGAUCAGCCACACUGGAACUGAGACACGGUCCAGACUCCUACGGGAGGCAGCAGUAAGGAAUAUUGCUCAAUGGGGGAAACCCUGAAGCAGCAACGCCGCGUGAAGGAUGAAAUACUUUCGUAUGUAAACUUCUGUAAGAUGGGAAAAUAUUCUCCUCGGGAGAAUUGAUUGUACCAUCAGAGUAAGCCCCGGCUAACUACGUG
rnacentral:rRNA from 1 species